CAGUGUCUCCGGCGUGUCCUGCAUCUCGGCAGCCAGCUCCUCUGCAGCUCAGGCCCCGUGAGUCACAGCCGCUUCCUCAAAUGCUUUGGCUGACCGCAUCCCCCCGCUCCGCCAGAACCCUGGAUGCCGGAGCCCUCCCAGCGAGAGCCGUGUUUAUUUUACUUUACAUACAUUUUCCAACCCGGAGCGGCUUCAACACAUGCAGCUCUUAGGCCCGGGCCGCACAUCUCAGAAGCCCCGUGUGCGACUUUGACUGCCGCACGAUCCUCUGCCGGGGGAGGUGGGCCCGCUGCGCUUUGGGAGCACCCGCGCCCGACACUGAGGUCUCGGUGCUGUCUUCGGCCUCUUCGCCCCUGAGGGUCCCCUCUGGGAGCAGAGGCGGUCGGAAAACCCUGGGGCUGAAGUGCAGGCUUCGGGAGGACGCGACCUGCCAAGAUCAGCUCCCGGCACGUGAUGGGAGCCUGGCUCACCUUCCCCCAGCACACGAUGGGGCUGCAGCCUCCCCGGUCAGCCUGGCCUGCUGGAAAGGAGCAGCUCUGUCUCCAGAGGCUUCUGGCGAAGCCCAUGGCCUCCCAAUGUUGGCUGAUUUAUAAGGAAAGAGGGGAAAGGCCAAGUGUGGAUGCCAUUAGCAUAACCUAAUCCAGACCCCAUGACAAGUCCAGGAUCCUGCAGGGAGAGGGCAUCCUUGAACGUGAAGGACUGGGUUUGGAAACUUGGCCUCCCGGAAGAAAGGUCUCCGGGCCCACCCACACCCCCCUUGUGGACGCCCCCGCAGUCUAAUACACUCCACAGUAAGACGGACCAGGAACAGCAGCAGCCUCCGGUGUCGGCCCAGUGAUCCGGGAGCUCAGAGUGUAGGUACCUGACGGCUUGACUCGUCCCCAGGACAAGGCCUGUGAGUGGGAGAGGGGCACUCUGAGUGUGCGAAUCUGUGAGAGUGUGUGUGUGUCUGGGCACGAGUGUGUAUGCGUGUGUGUGCAUGUAUAUUCACAUGUGUGAGGGUGUGAAUGUGUGUGUCUGUGGGUCUGGGCACAUGAGUGUGUGUGUGCAUAUACUACAUUCACGUGUGAGUGUGCAAAUGCGAGUGUGUCUGUAGGUCUGGGCACGUGUAUGCGUGUGUGUGCGAGUACUAUAUUCGCAUGUGUGAGUGUGCGAAUGUGUGUGUCUGUGGGUCUGGGCACACGAGUGUGUAUGCGUGUGUGUGCAUGUACUAUAUUCACGUGUGUGAGUGUGCGAAUGUGUCUGUGGGUCUGGGCACAUGAGUGUGUGCAUAUACUAUAUUCACGUGUGUGAGUGUGCAAAUGUGUGUCUGUAGGUCUGGGCACAUGUGUAUGCGUGUGUGUGCGAGUACUAUAUUCACGUGUGUGUGAGUGCGAAUGUGAGUGGGUGUGGGUCUGGUCACAUGUAUGUAUGCAUGUGUGCAUGUAUUAUAGUCAUGUGAGUGUGCAAAUGUGUGUGUGGGUCUGGGCACACAAGUGUGUAUGCAUGUGUUUCUAUUGUAUUCAUGUGAGUAUAAGUGCAAAUGUGUGAGUGUGUGUUCUCUGCACACACAAGUGUAUAGGUAUGUGUUUGUGUGUGCAUGCACUGUAUUCAUGUGAGUGUAUGUGAAUGUGUGACUGUGAGAGUUUGAGUGUGCCUGGGUGUCUGGCUAUACUAGUGCAUGUCUGUGUUCGUGUGCAUCAGUCUGGGUGUGCCCGUGUGUGAAUGUGUCUAUGCGUGGGUGUCCCAAUAUGUGUGUGCCUGUGUAUCCAUGUCUGGGUGUGCCUGUGAGUGUGAGUGUGCGCAUGGGUGUCUGGAUAUGUGAGUGCUUGUGACUACCUGUGUGUGUAUCCAUGUCUAGGUGUGCCCGUGGGUGUGAGUGUGUCUGUGCGUGGGUGUCUGGAUACGUGUGUGCCUGUAUGAGUGUGUAUCCAUGUCUGGGUGUGCCCACGGGUGUGAGUGUGAAUAUGUAAGUCUUGCGUGUGCAUGAGUGUGUUCACAUGAGUGUGAGGGUCUGUGCAUAAGAGCCUAUUGUGAGUGCAUGUGGAUUGCAUUUAUGUGAGUCCGUGUCUGUGUGCACGCACGUGUCCCCGCACAAGCCAGCCCGAGAGGGAGUGUCCCCUGAACACACCCUGGCAGCACUUGCAGCGUGAUGAGGUUGAGGGAAUGUGUCGCUGAGGUCGUAAAUGCCUCUCGCACGUCCCAACACGCUGGAGCAACAGCAGCCCGUGAUGCCGGCCGCGCAGCCGUGAAGUCCGUGGAGCGUCCCUAAUCACUGGGGGUUCUGCUUUGCGGUGACAGCGGUGCUACUCACAGCUCCAGAACUCUGCAGCUUCCCCCCUGAAACGGGAACGGGAAGGUGGCGCGGGCGUCCACACCUCGAGCCACAGCCGGCGGGAGGCACAGGCUGGCAAAACUGCCUCUCAGUAGUGAGAAGAGACAAACAAACCGAACGCCAGGAGCAGAGGAAACGAAGACGAUGUGGCCAAGAAAAAUUGCAUUUUUCUUUCCAGUUUUGCUAAAAUAGCCUUCUCAUUGGCUGCGGCUUUGGAGGUGGCAGAAAUCAUACGUUUAAUCACGGCGCCCUCCUGCUUGCCAAGCUUUGCGUCCUCCAGAAUUGUCCUGUGAGUGACUCCCGCAGGAUGGAGACUUUUGUGUCUGGCUUCCUUCACUUCGCAGCAGGCUUCGCGGGACCCGUGUGGUGGCACCAGCGUCCAGCCCUUGAAACCCAUGAAAGAGGAUCCUGAAAGAGCAAGGGCAGCCUCCAGGUGAAGGUGGUGGGCGGCCUCCAGGUGAAGGCGGCCUCCAGGUGAAGGUGGUCAGCACCCUACCUUUGGCCAAGAGCAGACUGCAGUUUCAACUCAAAGAUUAUUCCUGAAUGAGUGAGUGACUGCAUCUCUCUUCUCCUCACCCCUGCUGUGGUUGUGUCUCCUCUUCAAGAAAAACCAAUAUGUGGAAAGGCCUAAGUCUGCACAAAACAAAUAUUUAUUUUACAAAAUAUUGUUUUUUGCUUUUCCAGUGCAGCAAGCUUAAACUUCCUUAAAAACAAACCUCUGGGAAGAGGAAAAUGAGGCAAGAUGCUGAGAAAAAGUCAUCUCCCACUCUGCCCUUCUCUGGCAAAUCGAAGUGUCCUCUUGUGGGAGGCGGUGGGCAGCGACACUCCCGUUGGACGUCAGUGCUCUCGGGCCCGGCCACCCCGGAGCAGAACUCACUUAGGGCCUGGUGCCCCUGUGCCCAGUUCUCAGAAUGUCGGAGUGCUCAGUUCUCAGAACGCCGGAGUGCCCCAUUCAUAACCUGCAGCCCCGUUCAUAGCCUGCAGCUCCCCUCCUUCCUCUCCUCCUGGUCUUCAGGGAGCACCCCCAGCUCCCCUCCCCACUCUCAAACCCUCCUCCUCCCUCCCCUCUCUCAGUUCCCUGUUUGCAGGAUCUCCUCCUGCCCACUCUCCAGCCCAGGUCCUCCCCUCUCAUCUCCAAUUCUGCUUCACGGGCCAUGACAGCAGGCAGGCCAUGGCCUGCUCUCAGCAGUUUGAUCGAUGGACUAAGGAGAUCACUCCUACGAGAGUGAAAAAGUCAAGUGUGCCUGAGAUUCGGAUGGGGAGCUCUCAAAGCUAUGGAUUGCAAGAGUCAACACCGCCUCAAAAGUACAAGGCCGGCCGGGUGCAGUGGCUCACACCUUUAAUCCCAGCACUUUGGGAGACUGAGGUGGGUGGAUCACCUGAGGUCAGGAGCUCAAGACCAGCCUGACCAACAUGGUGAAAUCCCGUCUCUAUUAAAAAUACAAAAAAAAUUAGCCAGGUGUGGUGGUGCAUGCUUGUAGAUCCAGCUACUCGGGAGGCUGAGGCAGGGGGAGCACUUGAACCCGGGAGGUGGAGGUUGCAGUGAGCCGAGAUUGCGCCAUUGCACUCCAGCCUGGGCAACAGAGUGAGACCCUGCCUCAAAAAGAUAAAAAAAUAAAAGUACGAGGCCCGGUUUAAAUGCAGGAGGAAUCUGGUGAGCGAGUUUCACUCUGAUGCAACAGAAAAGCCAAGCCAAGCCUUGGCUGUGCCUGAUCUUGGCCGGGGAGCCACAGGCAGGGUCUGCUGGUUUCGGUGUCAGGGGCACAUCGCCAGGACCACGUGUGAGAUGGGAAGUGCCUUGAUGGAAAACUGAUACCUUUUUCUUUCCGAGUAACUUUAGAAUAUGUCGCUUCAAAUAUAACUAAUAUCCUGAUUUCAAUGGACUUGCAUGGAAGGAAACGCAAGUUCAUUUGCCAGUGGGGGGUGAGGACUGGGAGAGUGGGGAGCAGGGUGGGGAAGAGGGGACCAUUCCACAAGCUGCAAGAGCCUGGACACCUCCAGCCUUCAAUAAAUAGCAUUUGAAUUUGCUGUGCCUAAUUCAACCUUGCAUUUGUGUAGUGAAAGUCAGGCCCACGGUGUGUAUAGUUUGGCACAUGAGUUCAGCUCGGGUCCCCUUGAUCUGCUUCUAUGUUCUCACUCUCUCCCUGCCCGGCAUGCCCCUCUUUUUCUAUCCAGAUGAGCGAAGGGGUGAAUUAGUCCAGAAAUGUUUCUGCUCCAGUCAAACAAACAUUAUCACCUGUCAGUCAAACAUUAUCACCUGUCAGUCACCAGAGACGUGCACAGGUGCCUUCUCCUUUGCCUCGAGGUUUCUAUGACCUGGGAAAAGCCCAUCCCAUUCCCGGAUGAGGCUUCCCUGCGACCGGCCACAGACACACGAGCUACGCCCCGCCUUGCCAAAACUUUCAAGGUGGGAUGGAAGAAUCUGUCGUUUCUGCAUUUACGACCCCGUACGUGUUCCGUGCUGCAUCUGUUCUGGUUGGGUUGUCUCUCCUCUCAAGGCCUCUUUUGACCCAAACUUACUGCAAAGCAGAUGAGUGAGCCAGAAGCUGCGCUGGGCGUUGGGGGUUGUGGCAGAGGCUGGGGCUGUAUGUGGGCCGGCAGGCCACGGGCCGACCCACCGCAGGCAGCUUAGCAA
rnacentral:lncRNA from 1 species